GGCCGAGUAGGUGGCAAGUUGUAGCCUUGUUCACGGGGCCGUGCCCCCCCCAG
rnacentral:tRNA from 1 species